rnacentral:rRNA from 1 species
GACGAACGCUGGCGGCGUGCUUAACACAUGCAAGUCGAACGGGCCUUGUCCCCUUUUUUUUUGGGGGUGGGGUUAGUGGCGAACGGGGGAGUAACACGUGAGUAACCUGCCCCUCACUUCUGGAUAACCGCUUGAAAGGGUGGCUAAUACGGGGUGUUCUGGCCUGCUCGCAUGGGUGGGUUUGGAAAGAUUCGACCGGUUUGGUUGUUUUGGUGGGGGAUGGGCUCGCGGCCUAUCAGCUUGUUGGUGGGGUGAUGGCCUGCCAAGGCUUUGACGGGUAGCCGGCCUGAGAGGGUGGGCGGUCACACUGGGACUGAGACACGGCCCAGACUCCUACGGGAGGCAGCAGUGGGGAAUAUUGCACAAUGGGCGCAAGCCUGAUGCAGCGACGCCGCGUGAGGGAUGGAGGCCUUCGGGUUGUGAACCUCUUUCGCCAGUGAAGAAGGUCCUGCUCUUUGUGGUGGGGUUGACGGUAGCUGGGUUAAUGAAGCGCCGGCUAACUACGUG